rnacentral:lncRNA from 1 species
UCAGUGGCGGCAGAAAGGCAGUUUUUAAGAGAUAUGCGCGAGACGUCCCCACAGCAAGCAGAGUCGUCCCCACAAAUAAAAAGAAGACUUCCCGAGUCGUCCCCAAGAUAGCGGAGACGGCUCUCUCAGGGUUUUCCAGAGAAUGAUUUUUUCGGUAAUAAGGCAGCGGAGAUGUCCCCUGAAAGAGCGGAGUCGGCUCUCUCAG